UUCCUUUCAUCGUCCACCCGGAGCCCCACGGCGGGUAAUGCAAGAGGCCAAAAAUGUUUGGAGGAAGAAAAACAAAGGCAGGAAGUGGCGGCGGCCUGACGGUGCGUGUGUGUCUCUGCAGAAGGGAGGAGGGAUCCGGGCCCAAUCUCCUUGUUUUUCCAAACUUCAAGGUCCAGGCAG
rfam:Oryctolagus cuniculus cont2.35945, whole genome shotgun sequence.